rnacentral:rRNA from 1 species
CUAGAGUUGUGGUAGAGGGAAGUGGAAUUCCCAGGGUGUAGCGGUGAAAUGCGUAGAUAUCUGGAGGAACNCCCAGUGGCGAAGGCGACUUCCCUGGACCAACACUGACGUUGAGGUGCGAAAGGCGUGGGUAGCAAACAGGAUUAGAUACCCCUGGUAGUCCCACGCCGUAAAACGAUGUCAACUAGCCCGUCGGGUUUCAUUUAGGAAUUUGGUGGCGUAGGCUAACGCGAUAAGUUGACCCGCCUGGGGAGUACGGCCGCAAGGUUAAAACUCCAAAGGAAUUGACGGGGGCCCGCACAAGGCGGUGGAGCCAUGUGGUUUAAUUCGAUGCAACGCGAAGAACCUUACCAGCCCUUGACAUCCUCGGAACUUUCUAGAGAUAGAUUGGUGCCUUCGGGAACCGAGUGACAGGUGCUGCAUGGCUGUCGUCCAGCUCGUGUCCGUGAGAUGUUGGGUUAAGUCCCGUAACGAGCGCAACCCUUGUCCCUUAGUUGCCAGCACUUCGGGUGGGAACUCUAAGGAGACUGCCGGUGACAAACCGGAGGAAGGUGGGGAUGACGUCAAGUCAUCCAUGGCCCUUAUGGGCUGGGCUACACACGUGCU